UACAGAGGUCUCAAGCGUUGUUCGGAUUCAUUGGGCGUAAAGGGUGCGUAGGCGGCGCGGUAAGUCGGGUGUGAAAUCUCGGAGCUUAACUCCGAAACUGCAUUCGAUACUGCCGUGCUUGAGGACUGGAGAGGAGACUGGAAUUUACGGUGUAGCGGUGAAAUGCGUAGAUAUCGUAAGGAAGACCAGUGGCGAAGGCGAGUCUCUGGACGACACCUGACACUGAGGCACGAAAGCUAGGGGAGCAAACAGG
rnacentral:rRNA from 1 species